rnacentral:rRNA from 1 species
CUUGGGAGUAUGUGCUCGCCCGUCAUCUUUAUCUUUCCACCUGUGCACUUUUUGUAGAUUUAGAUGUGACUUUCUGAGGCCACUCAGUUGGGAGGAAUGUCAAUUUCAUUGGCUUUCCUUGUAUGUCCAAAUCUAUGUUUUUUUACAUACUCCAAAAUGUAAUAGAAUGUAUCAAUAGGCCUUGCGCCUAUAAAACUAUACAACUUUCAGCAACGGAUCUCUUGGCUCUCGCAUCGAUGAAGAACGCAGCGAAAUGCGAUAAGUAAUGUGAAUUGCAGAAUUCAGUGAAUCAUCGAAUCUUUGAACGCACCUUGCGCCCCUUGGUAUUCCGAGGGGCAUGCCUGUUUGAGUGUCAUUAAAUUCUCAACCUUACUAGCUUUUAUGAGCAAUGUAAUGGCUUUGGAUGUGGGGGUCUUUUUGCUGGCUUCGAAAGAAAUCUGCUCCCCUAAAAUGUAUUAGCUGGUGCCCCUCUGUGGACUGUCUACUGGUGUGAUAAUUAUCUAUGCCGUUAGAUGUCUGCUUUCAAUAGGGAUG